CCAGCAGGGGUCCUAAUGCCCUAGUAUAGUGACAGGGACUUUAUACUGCUAAGCGAGCGUCGUCUUUUGGAUGAGACGUUAAACCAAGGUCUUGACUCUCUGUGGUCGUUAAAAAUCCCAGGAUGUCCUUCGAAAAAGAGUAGGAGUUUAAACACGGCAUCCCGGCCAAAUUUGCAAACUGGCCUCUGUCCAUCAUGACCUCCUAAUAUUCCCAUACCAUAAUUGGCUUCCUCACUCUGGUGUGUGGUGUGCGGUCUGGCGCAAUAUGGCUGCCGUUGCAUCAUCCAGGUGGAUGCUGCACACUGGUGGAGAAUGAGGAGAUUCCCCCAAUGUGUAAAGCGCUUAGAGUGUCCACAAAAGCAUUAUGUAAAUGUAAGGAAUUACAAAUUGUUAUUAUUUUUGUAUUAUUAAUAUUAUUUACUUUUUCCAACUUUUCAAGGGUAAAAGAUCAAAUGAAAGAUCAAUGUCCAAUAAUGCAAUUGAAUAGCAUAAAUACACAGUAAAAAAAUAAAAACAUGGAGUUAAAAUAAGAAAAACUGCUAAUUUAGAUAUUUUUCCGUAAUACAAAAGAAGAAAAUAAUCAUGUACACCAAUGAUUGUUUUUUAUAAUUGAGUAAAUUAUGAACAGAUUUUCAUUUCACUUCUAUCUUAAGGAGCACUAUCGAGAUGUGAGAAGAAGUUCAACCAACAUAACAAAAAAAAAAAAUCUCGUAUAAUGUAGAACAGUUCACCUACAGACAAGGCCGGCAGAUGCGUCACACUCGCCCAAACUAAAAACACCAGGAAGCAUGCAAAAGAAUAUUAAAACAAAACCCAUGCAUUUUUUCUCUUCAGUACACCGAACGCAUAAUCUCUCCACACUGAGUGCUUCGCUAACACAAAUCCAAGUGCGCCUCUUUUCCUAGGAGGAGACGGAAACACAGUCGAGUGUAACAAAAAAUCAUUAUGGCCGUGACAUUAAUUUCCAUCCCAGCUCUCUCUGUGUGUAUGUGUGUGUGUCUGCAGCAGGACCUGUUUGGUAUGCUCUACCUCUCCUCUGCUCUCAACCACAGCGAGCUUUCAGCCGGCUUCUUAGCAUUUCAAUUUCAAACACCCGUGCAGACAGUCAUGUGAUCCCCAGCCUUGAGCUGCAGCUCUCCGAGGUAUUAGGUGAUAUUUUCAGCCUCGCUGAACAAAGUCAAAUGAAUCCAUGCAGAGGCAGCAUUACCAGCCUGACAGGAGGCGUCAGAUUUAAUUGGUGUCCUCCCAAUGAACCUUCAGCGGUCUGAGAGAGAUCAAUGCGUUGCAUCAGCCGCAGUAAAGCUGCCGCUCCGUGACAAACCGUCAAUCGAAAUCCACCAGCGGUGAUCUUUUCAGCCAGCCGGAGCGCUGACCGCAUCGAUAUGAAAAAUCUAACUACGUCUAGAACGCGAUUCAAGAACGGGCAGGCGCCCAAGACAAGCAUGCCUUUCCUGUUCAACGCUGCAUGUGGAUAAGAAGUUGUAUAGCCUGGAUUUCCAAUGAAAAACCUUUGAAGUAUCCUGAUUGUGAAUGGACGUACUCCUUUCCUGCUCCGUGUGUGUGUACCGUGGAGUGGUUUCUUUGUUCAACAUUAAAACUGAGCAGC